rnacentral:rRNA from 1 species
GAUGAACGCUGGCUACAGGCUUAACACAUGCAAGUCGAGGGGAAACGACGGGGAAGCUUGCUUCCCCGGGCGUCGACCGGCGCACGGGUGAGUAACGCGUAUCCAACCUGCCUCUGACUGAGGGAUAACCCGUCGAAAGUCGGCCUAAUACCUCAUGGCAUCGUCUGCGGGCAUCCAACGACGAUUAAAGAUUUCAUCGGUCAGGGAUGGGGAUGCGUCUGAUUAGCUAGUUGGCGGGGUAACGGCCCGCCAAGGCUACGAUCAGUAGGGGUUCUGAGAGGAAGGUCCCCCACAUUGGAACUGAGACACGAUCCAAACUCCUACGGGAGGCAGCAGUGAGGAAUAUUGGUCAAUGGGCGGGAGCCUGAACCAGCCAAGUAGCGUGCAGGAAGACGGCCCUAUGGGUUGUAAACUGCUUUUAUGCGGGGAUAAAGUGAGGGACGUGUCCUUCAUUGCAGGUAACCGCAUGAAUAAGGACCGGC